rnacentral:siRNA from 1 species
AUGACAAGCGUUAUCAUUACCGA